GUGCCAGCAGCCGCGGUAAUACGUAGGUGGCAAGCGUUGUCCGGAUUUAUUGGGCGUAAAGCGAGCGCAGGCGGUUUCUUAAGUCUGAUGUGAAAGCCUUCGGCUCAACCGAAAAAAGUGCAUCGGAAACUGGGGAACUUGAGUGCAGAAGAGGACAGUGGAACUCCAUGUGUAGCGGUGAAAUGCGUAGAUAUAUGGAAGAACACCAGUGGCGAAGGCGGCUGUCUGGUCUGUAACUGACGCUGAGGCUCGAAAGCAUGGGUAGCAAACAGGAUUAGAUACCCUGGUAGUCCAUGCCGUAAACGAUGAGUGCUAGGUGUUGGAGGGUUUCCGCCCUUCAGUGCCGCAGCUAACGCAUUAAGCACUCCGCCUGGGGAGUACGACCGCAAGGUUGAAACUCAAAGGAAUUGACGGGGGCCCGCACAAGCGGUGGAGCAUGUGGUUUAAUUCGAAGCAACGCGAAGAACCUUACCAGGUCUUGACAUCCUUUGACCACUCUAGAGAUAGAGCUUUCCCUUCGGGGACAAAGUGACAGGUGGUGCAUGGUUGUCGUCAGCUCGUGUCGUGAGAUGUUGGGUUAAGUCCCGCAACGAGCGCAACCCUUAUUACUAGUUGCCAGCAUUAAGUUGGGCACUCUAGUGAGACUGCCGGUGACAAACCGGAGGAAGGUGGGGACGACGUCAAAUCAUCAUGCCCCUUAUGACCUGGGCUACACACGUGCUACAAUGGAUGGUACAACGAGUUGCGAGACCGCGAGGUUUAGCUAAUCUCUUAAAACCAUUCUCAGUUCGGAUUGUAGGCUGCAACUCGCCUACAUGAAGCCGGAAUCGCUAGUAAUCGCGGAUCAGCAUGCCGCGGUGAAUACGUUCCCGGGCCUUGUACACACCGCCCGU
rnacentral:rRNA from 1 species